GAUGAACGCUAGCGGGAGGCCUAACACAUGCAAGCCGAGCGGUAGAGAUCUUUCGGGAUCUUGAGAGCGGCGUACGGGUGCGGAACACGUGUGCAACCUGCCUUUAUCUGGGGGAUAGCCUUUCGAAAGGAAGAUUAAUACCCCAUAAUAUACUGAAUGGCAUCAUUCGGUAUUGAAAACUCCGGUGGAUAGAGAUGGGCACGCGCAAGAUUAGAUAGUUGGUGAGGUAACGGCUCACCAAGUCUACGAUCUUUAGGGGGCCUGAGAGGGUGAUCCCCCACACUGGUACUGAGACACGGACCAGACUCCUACGGGAGGCAGCAGUGAGGAAUAUUGGACAAUGGGUGAGAGCCUGAUCCAGCCAUCCCGCGUGAAGGACGACGGCCCUAUGGGUUGUAAACUUCUUUUGUAUAGGGAUAAACCUACCCUCGUGAGGGUAGCUGAAGGUACUAUACGAAUAAGCACCGGCUAACUCCGUGCCAGCAGCCGCGGUAAUACGGAGGGUGCAAGCGUUAUCCGGAUUUAUUGGGUUUAAAGGGUCCGUAGGCGGAUCUGUAAGUCAGUGGUGAAAUCUCACAGCUUAACUGUGAAACUGCCAUUGAUACUGCAGGUCUUGAGUGUUGUUGAANUA
rnacentral:rRNA from 1 species